rnacentral:lncRNA from 1 species
GAGUUUGUCAAGCCAGAGAGCAACCCUCCAGCAUCCAGAUUACCCUUCGAAGACGGCAAAGAAAAAGAGAGCUCUGAAAUCACUCAACGCAUAGGAGCUGGUUCUAUAAUUUUUAGACUUUAAUUAAAUCAAUUAUUAAAGCCUUUCUUAAUGCCUUGCUGAGAUAUUCAGGCUCGGGCUGCCUCAGGAGAGAGGAAGUGGUUGAAUGCACAGAGGUGGCUAAUAAGAGGGGACACAACAUUCCAGAAUCCCGCAGGAAAGAUUCUACCAUCUCCACAGCUGCCCUUGCCGCAGUCCUCCCUACAGUUGGAGAAGAUGCCCCCAAUAACUGGGGUGUCUCGAGCUAGUGGACACAUCAUGGAGCUGGAGUGGACUGUGUCAUUAAGAUCCUCCCAUGGCCUCGUCCUGUGCUGGCCAUCGCUAUGCAUCCAGUAAGGAGGUAGAACACUGGAUUAGCCACAGAAAGCACACAGGCCUUUGCUGUGGAUGAGUCAAAGAUCCACGUGCGAGCAUCCCGUAGGGGACUUGCGUUUCAGAUCAGAUGAUGCUUUUCACGUAUGUCCAGCAGCAAGAGAAUCCUUCUCCACUGGUGAAAAAUCACGGGCCUCAGAGCAGAUUUUAGUUCAUCUUUCAUUUCAAAGCACUCCUUAGAUAUCUGCAAAUUAAAUCCCCUAAUUUGGUGAGGACGCCCAGCUUCCCAAAUAACAAGGCUUUU